UACGUAGGUGGCGAGCGUUUGUCCGGAUUUACUGGGCGUAAAGAGCGCGCAGGCGGUCGUUCAAGUCGCGUGUGAAAGCCCUCGGCUCAACUGGGGAGGGUCACGCGAUACUGAUCGACUCGAAGGCAGGAGAGGGUAGUGGAAUUCCCGGUGUAGUGGUGAAAUGCGUAGAUAUCGGGAGGAACACCAGUGGCGAAGGCGACUACCUGGCCUGUUCUUGACGCUGAGGCGCGAAAGCUAGGGGAGCAAACGGG
rnacentral:rRNA from 1 species